CAGGACGAACGCUGGCGGCGUGCUUAACACAUGCAAGUCGAACGGACGAGCACCCUUCGGGGUGUAAGUUAGUGGCGGACGGGUGAGUAACGCGUGAGUAACCUGCCUUGGAGUGGGGGAUAACACAGGGAAACUUGUGCUAAUACCGCAUAAGAUCAUAGGGUGGCAUCACCUAGUGAUCAAAGAUUUAUUGCUCCAAGAUGGGCUCGCGUCCGAUUAGAUAGUUGGUGAGGUAAAGGCCCACCAAGUCAACGAUCGGUAGCCGGACUGAGAGGUUGGCCGGCCACAUUGGGACUGAGACACGGCCCAGACUCCUACGGGAGGCAGCAGUGGGGAAUAUUAGGCAAUGGGGGAAACCCUGACCUAGCGACGCCGCGUGAAGGAUGAAGGUUUUCGGAUUGUAAACUUCUUUGGCAGAGGACGAUAAUGACGGUACUCUGAGAACAAGCCACGGCUAACUACGUGCCAGCAGCGGC
rnacentral:rRNA from 1 species